GACGAACGCUGGCGGCGUGCUUAACACAUGCAAGUCGAACGAUGAAGCCGGAGCUUGCUCUGGUGAAUUAGUGGCGAACGGGUGAGUAACACGUGAGUAACCUGCCCUUAACUCUGGGAUAACUGCUAGAAAUGGUAGCUAAUACCGGAUACGACCCUCGGCGGCAUCGCCAGGGGGUGGAAAGAAUUUCGGUCAAGGAUGGACUCGCGGCCUAUCAGCUAGUUGGUGAGGUAACGGCUCACCAAGGCGACGACGGGUAGCCGGCCUGUGAGGGUGACCGGCCACGCUGGGACUGGGACACGGCCCAGACUCCUACGGGAGGCAGCAGUGGGGAAUAUUGCACAAUGGGCGCAAGCCUGAUGCAGCAACGCCGCGUGAGGGAUGACGGCCUUCGGGUUGUAAACCUCUUUUAGUAGGGAAGAAGCGAAAGUGACGGUACCUGCAGAAAAAGCACCGGCUAACUACGUGCCAGCCGCCGCAGUAA
rnacentral:rRNA from 1 species